rnacentral:lncRNA from 1 species
CAGAGACCGAGACAGCUGGAGGAAGCUGCGUGGCCAAGGGCCAGCCCAGACUCCGGUUCUGCAGGAAAGUGAAGGGAGAACUCUGAGAGAAGUCUUCCAGCCCGUGUCCUGACCCGGUCAGAGCCAGGAGAGAGCAGAUCUUGGAGCUGCCUGUGGGCCAGUGGUCCCUGAUUCUCCCGCCCCUGGGGAAAGUGAGAGCAUCAAGAAGAUGUCGGGGAGGAAGGCGCCCAAGGAGAAAGCUCCACCUUCUGGAGACCAGAACAUGAAGGAGGAUCAUAAGAGAAGAGGUCACAAGAGAAGAGCAGCUGCUGCAGUCCGCUUGGCCAGAAUUCAGGUGAGUGGGGCUCAUUUUCCCUCCUGGCGUUCCCAGGCAUCAUUCGGGGAAUGGGCUUCUCGCUCUCC